rnacentral:rRNA from 6 species
CUUUAUUGGAGAGUUUGAUCCUGGCUCAGGAUGAACGCUGGCGGCGUGCCUAAUACAUGCAAGUCGAGCGAAUGGAUUGAGAGCUUGCUCUCAAGAAGUUAGCGGCGGACGGGUGAGUAACACGUGGGUAACCUGCCCAUAAGACUGGGAUAACUCCGGGAAACCGGGGCUAA